rnacentral:rRNA from 1 species
AAUAGAUACCCUGGUAGUCCACGCCGUAAACGGUGGGCACUAGAUGUGGGGCUCUUUCCAUGAGUUCCGCGUCGCAGCUAACGCAUUAAGUGCCCCGCCUGGGGAGUACGGCCGCAAGGCUAAAACUCAAAGGAAUUGACGGGGGCCCGCACAAGCGGCGGAGCAUGCGGAUUAAUUCGAUGCAACGCGAAGAACCUUACCAAGGCUUGACAUAUACGGUCUAUCCCUAGAGAUAGGGAGUGCUUCGGCGCCGUAUACAGGUGGUGCAUGGUUGUCGUCGGCUCGUGUCGUGAGAUGUUGGGUUAAGUCCCGCAACGAGCGCAACCCUCGUCCUAUGUUGCCAGCGGAUAAUGCCGGGGACUCAUGGGAGACUGCCGGGGUCAACUCGGAGGAAGGUGGGGAUGAGGUCAAAUCAUCAUGCCCCUUAUGUCUUGGGCUUCACGCAUGCUACAAUGGCCGGUACAAAGGGCUGCAAUACCGCGAGGUGGAGCGAAUCCCAAAAAAGCCGGUCUCAGUUCGGA